AACAAAUCACAACAGCCCUAAUCAGAAAGAAGGGCUCACGGGCUGCAUGUUAUAUGACACGGCAUGCGAGGAAGCACACAUGUUGACUGAUUACCCUGUGUGUGUGUGUGUGUGAGUAGAUGCAUGUGCGUGUGUGUGUGCGUGUGUGUGUUUGUAUCCUGACAGAUGCAACUUCCACAGCUUGACGGGAAGAUACGUCUGAGGGUAGAGACACAAAGCCACUAAGAGCUGUAAGCUGAUAUCACUGUGUCCAUCUGCUAACACGCCCAUUGUAGGACUACUGGACCGGCCAUUUAUACAAACACAGGAUUCAGAUUUAUCCAUUCAUCCUGUCUGCUUAUUCAGCAUGGUGUCCGUGUUAAGAACUAUGUUCCUGCCAUCUACCAUCCAUAAGACUCCACUCUGCCGUCAUGUCUAGUGAUGUAUGGAUAUAGCGUCGGACCUGAGGGGCCUGCCGCGUCCACUCACUAUCCACAGGCCCAUCACGGGGGAUUUCACCUGUCCGCCACAAACAUGAGCGCUCAACAAUUCAUCAUUUAUGUGACGAUGGCAAAUACUCUCUCUUGGACAGAUGGCUGGUGAAGCGAGCAGCAGGGCUCCCCGGUAAUCAUAUGUGCAAUAAAUGGAGCUGCUUAAAAUCCUGCGGACUGACUGCAGAUGGCUCUCAGAUACUGUCAACGUCAACGCCCAUGAACCUGUGAUCCUCUGGCUCUGGGAGAGCUGCUCAAACACCCCACUCACACUCACAGGGCACUUAACGACACGGCGGAAAACACAGAUUAAGACAAAUUAAGAUUAUGUUCUGAAAUAUGUGUGUUUUUCAUGAAUAUUCCUCUCCUGCUGUCUUUCAGACAACCAUCUUUUCGAGCAACAGAACAUACAGAACAACAGAAAGGUUUCUCUCAUCAAUUACUGCAAGCAUGCAACUGUUACAUAAUUACACCAGCAACUCAGAGAUGUGUCUUAUUCUUCUGACUAAUUGUCAGUCAGCACUGUGUUUUAGAAAUAUGUACAUGUUGUACAGUGCCUUUUGAAUGAGCAUGACGGCACUUCAUUCAUUUUCUUUUUUGUUUUUAAUUAAAUGUUCUACUGUAUGCAUUGAAACAUGACAUCUCACCUAUAAUGUAUUUUACUGUAAUGUAGUGCUCUGCCAAUUAUCUUCUGUAGGUACAAAACAGGCUCAGAUGUGCUGUUCUGAAGGCACUAAGGCAUGAUGGAUCUUCACUGUACUGUAAGAGCCUCUGUGUGUGUGAGAGGGAGAGAGUGUGAACUUCA